rnacentral:sRNA from 1 species
AGCAGCCGCGGUAAUUCCAGCUCCAAUAGCGUAUAUUAAAGUUGUUGCAGUUAAAAAAGCUCGUAGUUGAAUUUCGGGAUCAAUAUGUCUGUCGUGCCUUCGGUACGUACGGGUAUAAUUGGUUUCUACCUUCUGAUGAACCUUGAUGCCAUUAAUUUGGUGUCUUGGGGGACUCAGGACUGUUACCUUGAAAAAUUAGAGUGUUUAAAGCAGGCAUACGCUUGAAUACAUUAGCAUGGAAUAAUGAAAUAGGACGUUCGAUUCUAUUUUGUUGGUUUCUAGGAUCGACGUAAUGAUUAAUAGGGAUAGUUGGGGGGCAUUAGUAUUCAAUUGUCAGAGGUGAAAUUCUUGGAUUUAUUGAAGACUAACUACUGCGAAAGCAUUUGCCAAGGAUGUUUUCAUUAAUCAAGAACGAAAGUUAGGGGAUCGAAGACGAUCAGAUACCGUCGUAGUCUUAACCAUAAACUAUG